AAAAAUAAAAAAAUGACGACGGGAAUGGAAUAAUGAAAAACAAAUUUAUAGCAUGAUCAUACUUGUUAAAAUUCAAGAAACGAGUGAUAGAGCAGUGAAUUGCAUACAAUUUGUUGUAACUGUAAAGAGACAACAUUGAGAAUGCCUGUAAUGUUGGUGACAAACAUUUCUUCAAGUUCUCGUAUGGAUCUUCCACCCAAAAAUGUUUGAAACCUGAUGUUCUUGGUUAAGUACCAACUGCUAUAAAGAUUUUGACAGAAAUUCAGAAAAUUGAAACUUCUGGCUAUGAAACCUCAUCAAUUUUUAAAUACACAUUAUGAAGCUGCACAAUAAAAGAAGACCAUGAAAAUACAACAAUUUCAGCACUUGUUACCACUUUCUAAAUACUUUAGUAAUCACAAUAUGGAAAGAUGUAUAGCAACACUGCAAACUAUGAACUGAAUUUUAAGCAAGUGCUAAGACGAAGUGUCAGAAAUUGAUCGUUAACUUAUUUCUAAGAGGAAAAUCUUAUAUAUGAUAUUUUCGCAUUGGAUGAGUGCGAGACGAAUCGAACACCUAUGGAAGAAAAGUGUUAUUCUUGCGACAUUUGUCAAAAGACGUUUAGUGAGAUCCGCUACUUAAAGAGACAUCUAGGAAUUCAUACAGGAGAAACGCCACAUUCAUGCAGCUACUGUCAAAAGACAUUUAGUCAAGUUUAGUAUUUUUAAAAAAUCAUUUAAAACUCGUUCACGGGAGAGAAAAACCACAUGUUUGUAGCUACUGUCAAGCGGCAUUUAAUCACUUUAGAUCUUUAAAAGAGCACUAUAAAAUUCAAUAUAGAAGAAAAGUCAUAUUUUUGCAAGCGUUGUCUAAAGAAAUUUAGUGGCUUAAACCCUUUAAAGAUACAUUUGAAAACUCACACAAGAAAAAAUCACCAUUCCUGUAACUUUUGUCAAAAAGUUUUUCAGCUACUUGGCUCUCUGAAGGUACAUUUAAGAACUCAUACUGGAGAAAAGCCAUAUUCCUGCGACGUAUGUCAAAAGACAUACCUGAAUUCAAUCAUUUACAGACACAUUUAAGAACUCAUCCCCCCCCCCCCCGGAUAGAAACCAUUCUCUUACGACUAUUGUCAAAAAGCAUUCAUUCAAAUGGGAGAUUUAAGCAAGCAUAUUAAAACUCACACGGAGGAAAGACCACAUUCUUGCGACCUUUGUCAAAAAGCAUUUUGUGACUCCAGCAGUUUGAUGAGACAUUUAAGAAAUCAUACUGGAGAAAAGCCAUAUUCAUGUGACGUUUGUCAAAAAACAUUUAGUUACGGUUCCGCUCUGAAGUCACAUUUAAGCACUCAUGGAAACGGGGAGAGCGAAGAUGGGUUGCUUUCUUGCCCGUUCUGUGAAAAGAAGUUUAGCAAAAUCACACCUUUAAAGAUUCAUGUCAGAACUCACACGGGAGAAAAGCCAUAUUCUUGUGACCAUUGUCAAAAAGCAUUUAGUGACCCUUCGGCUUGGAGGGCACAUUUAAGGACUCAUACUAGAGAAAAUCCGUUUUCUUGCUACCAUUGUCCCAAAGCGUUCGAUCGGAUGGCAUGUUUACGCCGGCAUAUCAGAACUCACACAGGAGAAAGGCCGUAUGCUUGCGAUUGUUGUCAAAAGACAUUUAAAGAAAAAGGAAAUUUAAAGAGACAUUUAAGAAUUCAUACAGGAGAAAAGCCUUAUUCUUGUGACUAUUGUGGAAGAGGAUUUAGUUAUCCUGGUGAUUUAAAGCUGCAUUUAAAAACUCAUACAGGAGAAAAAAGUUUCUUGCAACCAUUGUCCUGAAGCCUGCAACCGGACUUCAUGUUUACGUCGACAUCUUAAAACUCAGUCGGAAGAAACGCCAUAUACCUGCAACUAUUGCCUAAUAACAUUUAAAGAAACAGGAUGCUUAAAAAAGCAUUUAAGAAUUCAUACAGGAGAAAAGCCUCCUUCCUGUGACUCGUGGAAGAGGAUUUACUUAUCCUAGUGACUUAAAACUACAUAUAAAAACUCAUGCAGGAGAAAUGCCGUCAGAAGACACGUUUACAAAGGCAUUUGGAACUCACUCAAAAAAACGGUGUGACGGUUUAAGGAAUCACUUCUAAAAAGACACUUAGUUUUGAUGUGCCGGAUCGUUAAAAAUAGAUCCGCGGUUACGGAUACAGAUAAUUGUAUCUAAUUCCGCAGAUACGGAUCCGGUCUUUAAAUUUUUUACCCUUAUUCUUGUGACACAAAAAACCCAAGUUGUCAAAAGACAUUCAAAGAAAAAGGGAAAAAAUAUGUAAGUACAGUAGAAAAGCCUUUUUUUUUUGUGACUAGCAUUUCCUUUUGGUUAAAGUAAUUCUUUGUAAGUAAAAUAAAGUAACUGAAAACCUUUUACAAAACUAGAGAUUAGCGUCAAAAAAAAUAUGCCACUGCAAAACGUUAUUUAAUUUUGUUCAAUAGAGAACAAAAAAAAAAAGCUCUAAUGACAAUCCAUCUUGUUAAAAAACAUGAAAAGCGACAACUGUAAAUAAAAAAACCUCAUCACAUAUGAAUUUUUGAUACAAUUUUCUGUAUGACGUAAUUCACAAUAUUUAUUUCAAGAGAUUGUCUAGUUUUUGUUAAAUAACUACAGUAACCGCCCCUAAUAUGAAUCAUGUUUGCUUCAAAAGUUCUAAUUCAAU